AUGGCUGUCGUCAGCUCGUGCCGUGAGGUGUUGCCUUAAGUGGCGCAACGAGCGCAACCCCUGUCCUUAGUUGCCAGCGGGUAAUGCCGGGAACUCUAGGGAGACUGCCGGUGCCAAACCGGAGGAAGGUGGGGAUGACGUCAAGUCAUCAUGCCCCUUAUGUCCAGGGCUGCACACAUGCUACAAUGCGCGAUACAGAGGGUUGCGAUCCCGCAAGGGGGAGCGAAUCCCAAAAAGUCGCGCUCAGUUCGGAUCGGGGUCUGCAACUCGACCCCGUGAAGUCGGAGUCGCUAGUAAUCGCAGAUCAGCAAUGCUGCGGUGAAUACGUUCCCGGGCCUUGUACACACCGCCCGUCACACCACGAAAGUGGGCAACACCCGAAGCCGGUGGCCUAACCCUUGUGGAGGGAGCCGUCGAAGGUGGGGCUCGCGAUUGGGGUGAAGUCGUAACAAGGUAGCCGUACCGGAAGGUGCGGCUGGAUCACCUCCUUUCUAAGGAGCCUUUGGCAUACCGGUGAGUUCGGACUUUCCGAUCCGAGCUCUGCAACCCGGAAGACUCCAGGUCGAUGCACUGGCCCCCGCCGGCAACGCCCGGCACACCUCCUUCUAGUAGUCCGUAAGGGCGAACGCGGUCGUGCGCAGAGCGAUGUUCGGCGGGCACACUGUUCAGCUUUGAGGGUGCGAGCCCUCGGGCACCUUGAGAACUCGAUAGCGAGCGCGAGCAUCUAGUAGUCAAGUUAUGAAGGGCUUACGGUGGAUGCCUUGGCGCCAGGAGCCGAUGAAGGACGCGUCAGGCUGCGAAAAGCUUCGGGGAGCUGCCUAGAGAGCUUUGAUCCGAAGGUGUCCGAAUGGGGAAACCCGG
rnacentral:sRNA from 1 species